UACGUAGGGUGCGAGCGUUAAUCGGAAUUACUGGGCGUAAAGCGUGCGCAGGCGGGCUUUUAAGCCAGACGUGAGAUCCCCGGGCUUAACCUGGGAAUGGCGUUUGGGACUGGGAGUCUGGAGUGCGGCAGAGGAGACUGGAAUUCCUGGUGUAGCAGUGAAAUGCGUAGAUAUCAGGAGGAACACCGAUGGCGAAGGCAGGUCUCUGGGCUGACACUGACGCUCAUGCACGAAAGCGUGGGGAGCAAACAGG
rnacentral:rRNA from 1 species